GACGAACGCUGGCGGCGUGCUUAACACAUGCAAGUCGAACGAUGACGACCGAGCUUGCUCGGUCUGAUUAGUGGCGAACGGGUGAGUAACACGUGAGCAACCUGCCCUUCACUCUGGGAUAACCUCGGGAAAUCGGGGCUAAUACCGGAUAUGAGCUCCUGUCGCAUGGCGGGUGUUGGAAAGUUUUUCGGUGAAGGAUGGGCUCGCGGCCUAUCAGUUUGUUGGUGAGGUAGUGGCUCACCAAGGCGAUGACGGGUAGCCGGCCUGAGAGGGCGACCGGCCACACUGGGACUGAGACACGGCCCAGACUCCUACGGGAGGCAGCAGUGGGGAAUAUUGCACAAUGGGCGAAAGCCUGAUGCAGCGACGCCGCGUGAGGGAUGACGGCCCUCGGGUUGUAAACCUCUUUCAGCAGGGAAGAAGCGAAAGUGACGGUACCUGCAGAAGAAGCGCCGGCUAACUACGUG
rnacentral:rRNA from 1 species